UUGGAGGGCAAGUCUGGUGCCAGCAGCCGCGGUAAUUCCAGCUCCAAUAGCGUAUAUUAAAGUUGUUGCAGUUAAAAAGCUCGUAGUUGAAUCUCGGGAUCAAUUUAUUGGUCGUGCUAUUGUACGUACUGGUAUUAUUGAUUUCUACCUUCUGACGAACCAUGAUGUCAUUAAUUUGGUGUCUUGGGGAAUCAGGACUGUUACUUUGAAAAAAUUAGAGUGUUUAAAGCAGGCUCACGCUUGAAUACAUUAGCAUGGAAUAACGAAAUAGGACGUUUGAUUCUAUUUUGUUGGUUUCUAGGAUCGACGUAAUGAUUAAUAGGGAUAGUUGGGGGCAUUAGUAUUCAAUUGUCAGAGGUGAAAUUCUUGGAUUUAUUGAAGACUAACUACUGCGAAAGCAUUUGCCAAGGAUGUUUUCAUUAAUCAAGAACGAAAGUUAGGGGAUCGAAGACGAUCAGAUACCGUCGUAGUCUUAACCAUAAACUAUGCCGACUAGGGAUCGGAUGAUGUUAAUUUUUUAAUGACUCAUUCGGCGCCUUACGGGAAAC
rnacentral:rRNA from 1 species